rnacentral:miRNA from 1 species
GGGGGGCAGGAGGGGCUCA